GUGAGUCAUCGAAUCUUUGAACGCAUCUUGCACUAUUCGGCUUCCCCGGAUAGUAUGCCUGGUUGAGUGUCUGUGUAUCUCUCCUAUAUCAAUCUUUUUUGGUUGAUCAAUAGGGACUUGGGGUCUUCUCGUCGGAACUAAUUAGUCCCGGUGAACCCUUUAAAUGUAGCAAGCUCCCAUCUUUCAUCGGAAAUACGCAAACUUGGGGAUGGCGUCGUAGCAAUCACUCUUAUCAGUAUUGUCGAAGCGCCUAUAUCAUACCUCUAAUCUGCGGUGCUAAUCCUUUAUCAAUGGGCGAAG
rnacentral:misc_RNA from 1 species